GACGAACGCUGGCGGCGUGCUUAACACAUGCAAGUCGAACGGAAAGGCCCUGCUUUUGUGGGGUGCUCGAGUGGCGAACGGGUGAGUAACACGUGAGUAACCUGCCCUUGACUUUGGGAUAACUUCAGGAAACUGGGGCUAAUACCGGUUAGGAGCUCUGGCGGCAUGGUGGGGGUUGGAAAGUUUCGGCGGUGGGGGAUGGACUCGCGGCUUAUCAGCUUGUUGGUGGGGUAGUGGCUUACCAAGGCUUUGACGGGUAGCCGGCCUGAGAGGGUGACCGGCCACAUUGGGACUGAGAUACGGCCCAGACUCCUACGGGAGGCAGCAGUGGGGAAUAUUGCACAAUGGGCGGAAGCCUGAUGCAGCAACGCCGCGUGCGGGAUGACGGCCUUCGGGUUGUAAACCGCUUUCGCCUGUGACGAAGCGUGAGUGACGGUAAUGGGUAAAGAAGCACCGGCUAACUACGUG
rnacentral:rRNA from 1 species